CCUCCUCUCCUCGCAUCUUCUUCUCCAGUCUCCAUAACCCUAACCGCCAAAAUCUUAGCCAAAUCGGGCGACCCGAUCCGAAUCAAAUGGUCGGGGAUCGACUCCCCGUCCGACCUCGACUGGCUCGGCAUCUACUCGCCGCCGUCCUCCGCCCACGACAACUUCAUUGGCUAUGUUUUUCUGUCGUCAUGUCCCACAUGGGAAUCUGGAUCGGGUUCGAUCAGCUUACCCCUGGUUAAUCUCCGUGCUAACUACUCUUUUCGGAUAUUCCGGUGGUCCCGGUCCGAGGUCGACCCGACCCGGAUGGACCACGACCACAAUCCCUUGCCGGGGACAACGCAUCUGGUGGCGGAGUCCGGGGAGGUGGGGUUCGGGGGCGGCGGGGGGCCGGAGCAGAUCCAUUUGGCGUACACGGAUAGGGAGGAUGAGAUGCGGGUGAUGUUCGUGACGGGGGACGCGGGCGUGAGGACUGUGAGGUAUGGCUUGAGCAGGGACGCGAUGCACAGGGUGGUGACGGCGGCGGUGGGGAGAUAUGAGAGGGAGGACAUGUGUGACUCGCCAGCGAAUGAGAGUGUUGGGUGGAGAGAUCCGGGUUUUAUUCAAGAUGCGGUGAUGAGGAAUUUGAAGAAAG
rnacentral:lncRNA from 1 species